rnacentral:rRNA from 1 species
GGAAGUAAAAGUCGUAACAAGGUUUCCGUAGGUGAACCUGCGGAAGGAUCAUUCAUAAUCAAGUGUUUUUAUGGCACUUUCAAAAAUCCAUAUCCACCUUGUGUGCAAUGUCAUCUCUCUGGGGGCCGCCGGCUGUCAAAAGCCGUGUGGUCACCUUUGGGAUUUAUAUCUACUCAGAACUUUAGUGAUUUUGUCUGAAACAUAUUAUGAAUACUUAAUUCAAAAUACAACUUCCAACAACGGAUCUCUUGGCUCUCGCAUCGAUGAAGAACGCAGCGAAAUGCGAUACGUAAUGUGAAUUGCAGAAUUCAGUGAAUCAUCGAAUCUUUGAACGCAUAUUGCGCUCUCUGGUAUUCCGGAGAGCAUGCUUGUUUGAGUAUCAGUAAACACCUCAACUUCCAUAUCUUUUUUUGAAAUGGGAGUUGGACUUGAGUGAUCCCAACGCUUUUCCUCACCGAAAAGUGGCGGGUUACUUGAAAUGCAGGUGCAGCUGGACUUUUCUCUGAGCUAUAAGCAUAUCUAUUUAGUCUGCCUAAAAAACAGAUUAUUACCUUUGCUGCAGCUAACAUAAAGGAGAUUAGUUCUUGUGCUGACUGAUGCAGGAUUCACAAAGACAGCUUCGGCCGACUUUGUAAACUCGAUCUCAAAUCAAGUAAGACUACCCGCUGAACUUAAGCAUAUCAAUAAGCGGAGGA